AGAAUCAACGCUGGCGGCGUGCCUAACACAUGCAAGUCGAACGAGAAAGUGGAGCAAUCCAUGAGUAAAGUGGCGACCGGGUGAGUAACACGUGACUAACCUACCUUCGAGUGGGGGAUAACCUCGGGAAACCGGGGCUAAUACCGCAUAACAUCUUUGAAGUGGAAACUUUGGAGAUCAAAGGAGCAAUUCGCUGGAAGAGGGGGUCGCGGCUGAUUAGCUAGUUGGCGGGUAACGCCCACAAGGCUUAGAUCGGUA
rnacentral:rRNA from 1 species